rnacentral:rRNA from 1 species
UACGUAGGGGGCGAGCGUUAAUCGGAAUUACUGGGCGUAAAGCGUGCGCAGGCGGCUUCGCAAGUCAGGCGUGAAAUCCCCGGGCUUAACCUGGGAAUGGCGUCUGAAACUACGGAGCUGGAGUGUGGCAGAGGGAGGUAGAAUUCCACGUGUAGCGGUGAAAUGCGUAGAUAUGUGGAGGAAUACCGAUGGCGAAGGCGGCCUCCUGGGCCAACACUGACGCUCAUGCGCGAAAGCGUGGGGAGCAAACAGG